GCAGCACGGACUUCGGUCUGGUGGCGAGUGGCGAACGGGUGAGUAAUGUAUCGGAACGUGCCCAGUAGCGGGGGAUAACUACGCGAAAGCGUAGCUAAUACCGCAUACGCCCUACGGGGGAAAGCAGGGGAUCGCAAGACCUUGCACUAUUGGAGCGGCCGAUAUCGGAUUAGCUAGUUGGUGGGGUAACGGCUCACCAAGGCGACGAUCCGUAGCUGGUUUGAGAGGACGACCAGCCACACUGGGACUGAGACACGGCCCAGACUCCUACGGGAGGCAGCAGUGGGGAAUUUUGGACAAUGGGGGAAACCCUGAUCCAGCCAUCCCGCGUGUGCGAUGAAGGCCUUCGGGUUGUAAAGCACUUUUGGCAGGAAAGAAACGUCGCGGGUUAAUACCCCGCGGAACUGACGGUACCUGCAGAAUAAGCACCGGCUAACUACGUGCCAGCAGCCGCGGUAAUACGUAGGGUGCAAGCGUUAAUCGGAAUUACUGGGCGUAAAGCGUGCGCAGGCGGUUCGGAAAGAAAGAUGUGAAAUCCCAGAGCUUAACUUUGGAACUGCAUUUUUAACUACCGAGCUAGAGUGUGUCAGAGGGAGGUGGAAUUCCGCGUGUAGCAGUGAAAUGCGUAGAUAUGCGGAGGAACACCGAUGGCGAAGGCAGCCUCCUGGGAUAUCACUGACGCUCAUGCACGAAAGCGUGGGGGAGCGGACAGGAUUAGAUACCCUGGUAGUCCACGCCCUAAACGAUGUCAACUAGCUGUUGGGGCCUUCGGGCCUUGGUAGCGCAGCUAACGCGUGAAGUUGACCGCCUGGGGAGUACGGUCGCAAGAUUAAAACUCAAAGGAAUUGACGGGGACCCGCACAAGCGGUGGAUGAUGUGGAUUAAUUCGAUGCAACGCGAAAAACCUUACCUACCCUUGACAUGUCUGGAAUUCCGAAGAGAUUUGGAAGUGCUCGCAAGAGAACCGGAACACAGGUGCUGCAUGGCUGUCGUCAGCUCGUGUCGUGAGAUGUUGGGUUAAGUCCCGCAACGAGCGCAACCCUUGUCAUUAGUUGCUACGAAAGGGCACUCUAAUGAGACUGCCGGUGACAAACCGGAGGAAGGUGGGGAUGACGUCAAGUCCUCAUGGCCCUUAUGGGUAGGGCUUCACACGUCAUACAAUGGUCGGGACAGAGGGUCGCCAACCCGCGAGGGGGAGCCAAUCCCAGAAACCCGAUCGUAGUCCGGAUCGCAGUCUGCAACUCGACUGCGUGAAGUCGGAAUCGCUAGUAAUCGCGGAUCAGCAUGUCGCGGUGAAUACGUUCCCGGGUCUUGUACACACCGCCCGUCACACCAUGGGAGUGGGUUUUACCAGAAGUAGUUAGCCUAACCGCAAGGGGGGCGAUUACCACGGUAGGAUU
rnacentral:rRNA from 1 species